GGUGCCAGCCGCCGCGGUAAUACCAGCAGCCCAAGUGGUGNUCGCGUUUAUUGGGCCUAAAGCGCUCGUAGCCGGGCCGGUAAGUCCCUUGUGAAAUCGGACGGCUUAACCGUUCGGCUUGCAAGGGAUACUGUCGGCCUUGGGGCCGGGAGAGGUCGGAGGUACUCCGGGGGUAGCGGUGAAAUGCUGUAAUCCCUGGGGGACCACCAGUGGCGAAGGCGUCCGGCCAGAACGGACCCGACGGUGAGGGGCGAAAGCUUGGGGAGCGAACGGGAUUAGAUACCCCGGUAGUCCAAGCCGUAAAGCAUGCGGGUCGGGUGUAGAGCGUCCUUAGAGGGCGCUCGGUGCCGUAGGGAAGCCGUUAAGCCCGCCGCCUGGGAAGUACGGUCGCAAGGCUGAAACUUAAAGAAAUUGGCGGGGGAGCACCACAAGGGGUGGGACCUGCGGUUCAAUUGGAUUCAACGCCGGACAACUCACCAGGGGCGACAGCUGGUUGAAGGCCAGGUUGACGACCUUGCCGGACUAGCUGAGAGGUGUGCAG
rnacentral:rRNA from 1 species